AGGAUUACAGGUGUGAACCACCGUGCCCCGCCCUACUUUCUAUGAAGUAGAAUGGAAGCACAGAGACCACAGAGGCAAGAGCUGGGGAAGGAAAACUGCCCAUGAGAUGAGAUGUGCCUCUCAGCUUCCAAAAUCGGGGAGGGUUGCAAAGGGAUGACACCAUCCACACCAGAACUGCAUGAAUGGCAUCAGGGAUGAUCAGAGACCAUAAAUUCCAGUGAGACCAAUAACACCAUUUCUGGUCCUGCAUGCUCUUCCAAACUUUGCCACUAACUCCUUCAAGAGGUUAGAAAAGGCAACAGAACUUCAUCCUAAUCUCUCUCAAGUUGCCCCCCAUAGAAUCCAGCCAUCGUGCUGUGAGGAAUCCAAGCAGCUACAUAGAAAGGCCACAACUAGAUAUUCCAGCUGUAGUCAGCUGAAGCUCCAGCCAACAGCCAACAUCAACCACCACGCGUGAAAACGAGCAAGCCUUCAGAUGAUUCCGACUCCCAACCUUCAAGCCACCUCAGCUGAAGCCAAGUAGAGCAGAGACUAGCUGUCCCCCAAUGCUCUAAUAUGCAGAUUCAUAAUUAAAGAGAAUGUUAUUGUUCUAA
rnacentral:antisense_RNA from 1 species